rnacentral:rRNA from 1 species
CACAUGUAAAUCAAAACGAACUAUCACUGAUAAUUAACGAAAAUAUUUACUUUAACUAGAAUUUAAAUUUCUUAAACCGUUUACCCAACACAGGUGUAUAAAAGAAAGACUUAAAGCUUAAGAAGGAACUCGGCAAACCCAGGCUUCGCCUGUUUACCAAAAACAUCGCCUUUUGACAAAUAAAUAUGAAAGGUCCUGCCUGCCCAGUGAUAAUUAUUCAACGGCCGCGGUAUUAUGACCGUGCAAAGGUAGCAUAAUCACUUGUCUUCUAAAUCAAGACCAGCAUGAACGGCAAAACGAAAGCCUAACUGUCUCCUUAAGUUAGUCAAUGAAAUUGAUCUUUUCGUGCAGAAGCGAGAAUAUAAAUAUAAGACGAGAAGACCCUGUGGAGCUUUAAAAUAAUAUUAUAUAAAUAUCUUAUAAUAAUAUAAAUUUUUAGGUUGGGGCGACCAUGAGGUAAAGUAAAACCCUCAAGAAAAUAAUUAGAAGGACACUUCAAACUAAAUAUAAUAUCUAUAUAUGACCCAAUAAUGAUCAACGAACCAAGUUACCCCAGGGAUAACAGCGCAAUCCAUUCCCAAAGUCCAUAUCGACGGAUGGGUUUACGACCUCAAGUUGGAUCAGGACAUCC